GAUGAAGAACGUAGCGAAAUGCGAUAAGUAAUGUGAAUUGCAGAAUUCAGUGAAUCAUCGAAUCUUUGAACGCACAUUGCGCCCGCGAGUAUUCUCGCGGGCAUGCCUGUCCGAGCGUCAUUUCAACCCUCAGGGCCCGCCUGCUUGCAGGCGCGGCGCUGGUGUUGGGGAUCGGCUACCCUGCCGUCCCCCAAAUACAGUGGCGGUCUCGCUGCAGCCUCCCCUGCGUAGUAGCAACACUCGCAUGCGGAGCGCGGCGCGGCCACGCCGUAAAACCCCCGACUUUCUGAACGUUGACCUUGGAUCAGGUAGGAAUACCCGCUGAACUUAAGCAUAUCAAUAAGCGGAGGA
rnacentral:misc_RNA from 1 species